AGUGAACGCUGGCGGUAGGCCUAACACAUGCAAGUCGAACGGCAGCACAGUAAGAGCUUGCUCUUACGGGUGGCGAGUGGCGGACGGGUGAGGAAUACAUCGGAAUCUACUUUUUCGUGGGGGAUAACGUAGGGAAACUUACGCUAAUACCGCAUACGACCUACGGGUGAAAGCAGGGGAUCUUCGGACCUUGCGCGAUUGAAUGAGCCGAUGUCGGAUUAGCUAGUUGGCGGGGUAAAGGCCCACCAAGGCGACGGUCCGUAGCUGGUCUGAGAGGGUGAUCAGCCACACUGGAACUGAGACACGGUCCAGACUCCUACGGGAGGCAGCAGUGGGGAAUAUUGGACAAUGGGCGCAAGCCUGAUCCAGCCAUACCGCGUGGGUGAAGAAGGCCUUCGGGUUGUAAAGCCCUUUUGUUGGGAAAGAAAAGCAGCAGGUUAAUACCCCGCUGUUCUGACGGUACCCAAAGAAUAAGCACCGGCUAACUUCGUG
rnacentral:rRNA from 1 species